CCUACGGGAGGCAGCAGUGAGGAAUAUUGGUCAAUGGACGAGAGUCUGAACCAGCCAAGUAGCGUGAAGGAUGACUGCCCUAUGGGUUGUAAACUUCUUUUAUAUGGGAAUAAAAUGUUCCACGUGUGGGAUUUUGUAUGUACCAUAUGAAUAAGGAUCGGCUAACUCCGUGCCAGCAGCCGCGGUAAUACGGAGGAUCCGAGCGUUAUCCGGAUUUAUUGGGUUUAAAGGGAGCGUAGGUGGAUUGUUAAGUCAGUUGUGAAAGUUUGCGGCUCAACCGUAGAAGUGCAGUUGAAACUGGCAGUCUGGAGUACAGUAGAGGUGGGCGGAAUUCGUGGUGUAGCGGUGAAAUGCUUAGAUAUCACGAAGAACUCCGAUUGCGAAGGCAGCUCACUGGACUGCAACUGACACUGAGGCUCGAAAGUGUGGGUAUCAAACAGGAUUAGAUACCCUUGUAGUC
rnacentral:rRNA from 1 species